AUUGAACGCUGGCGGCAUGCCUUACACAUGCAAGUCGAACGGCAUCGCGGGAAAGCUUGCUUUCCUGGCGGCGAGUGGCGAACGGGUGAGUAACACAUCGGAACGUACCGGCUAGUGGGGGAUAACCCGUCGAAAGACGGGCUAAUACCGCAUACGCUCUUCGGAGGAAAGCAGGGGACCUUUGGGCCUUGCGCUAGCCGAGCGGCCGAUGUCCGAUUAGCUAGUUGGUGGGGUAAAGGCCUACCAAGGCGACGAUCGGUAGCGGGUCUGAGAGGACGAUCCGCCCCCCUGGGACUGAGGAACGGCCCAGGACCCUACGGGAGGGCGGCGUGGGGAAUCUUUGGCAAUGGGGGCAACCCUGAUCCAGCAAUGCCGCGUGGGUGAAGAAGGCCUUCGGGUUGUAAAGCCCUUUCGGCAGGGAAGAAAUCGGCGGGGCGAAUAACCCUGCUGGAUGACGGUACCUGCAGAAGAAGCACCGGCUAACUACGUG
rnacentral:rRNA from 1 species